rnacentral:rRNA from 1 species
UCGGGAAUUUUGGGCAAUGGGCGAAAGCCUGACCCAGCAACGCCGCGUGAAGGAUGAAGUAUUUCGGUAUGUAAACUUCGAAAGAAUAGGAAGAAUAAAUGACGGUACUAUUUAUAAGGUCCGGCUAACUACGUGCCAGCAGCCGCGGUAAUACGUAGGGACCAAGCGUUGUUCGGAUUUACUGGGCGUAAAGGGCGCGUAGGCGGCGUGGUAAGUCAUCUGUGAAAUCUCCGAGCUUAACUCGGAACGGUCAGAUGAUACUGCUGUGCUAGAGUACAGAAGGGGCAAUCGGAAUUCUUGGUGUAGCGGUGAAAUGCGUAGAUAUCAAGAGGAACACCUGAGGUGAGGACGGGUUGCUGGGCUGAUACUGACGCUGAGGCGCGAAAGCUAGGGUAGCAAACGGGAUUAGAUACCCCCGUAGUCCCUGAGCGGGCUGGCAAGGCGCAU